CAGAAAUGAAAAAAGGAUAGAUCAGCUGGCUUCCCUUGAUCAGCUAGAAUGGUUAGAAGAACCUGUUUUAUCAGAACAUUUCUCCAAUUCUGCCAAUUUUGAUCCAUUUUGAGUUAAAAAAAGGCAAUGAUGAAAGAAAUGCUGCUGAAGAACUUUCACUGUCAUAAAAGCAGGAUCCUGUUGAAGAAAUGGACAAAUCACUCUCAUUCAUUUGCUACAGACUGGCUCU